rnacentral:rRNA from 1 species
AGAGUUUGAUCCUGGCUCAGGACGAACGCUGGCGGCGUGCUUAACACAUGCAAGUCGAACGAUGAAGGCCGUGCUUGCACGGCUGGAUUAGUGGCGAACGGGUGAGUAACACGUGAGUAACCUGCCCUUCACUCUGGGAUAACCUCGGGAAAUCGGGGCUAAUACCGGAUAUGAGUGUCCACUGCAUGGUGGAUGCUGGAAAGUUUUUCGGUGAAGGAUGGACUCGCGGCCUAUCAGUUUGUUGGUGAGGUAAUGGCUCACCAAGACGAUGACGGGUAGCCGGCCUGAGAGGGCGACCGGCCACACUGGGACUGAGACACGGCCCAGACUCCUACGGGAGGCAGCAGUGGGGAAUAUUGCACAAUGGGCGAAAGCCUGAUGCAGCGACGCCGCGUGAGGGAUGACGGCCUUCGGGUUGUAAACCUCUUUCAGUAGGGAAGAAGCGAAAGUGACGGUACCUGCAGAAGAAGCGCCGGCUAACUACGUGCCAGCCGCCGCGGUAAUUC